UCGAUUCUUCCCUCCCAUUCAUUUCCUUUCGGCUGCCUUUCCUUCCCCAUCUCAUCUCACCGGCGGCAACAAAAGCCAUGCGCGCGGAUGCAGCCUUUGCUGAUAAGCAGUGCCGACGAGCCCCGCAUGCGAUGGCUCGCGGGGUGAUGCGAGCUCCGCUUGGUGGCCUGGUGAGCGGCAGGCAGCAGGACCGAGGCCACACCGUCCGCCUGGUCCCGGCGAGCCGAUGCAAGGUGGAUGUCGCCUGUGGCCGUGCCCGUCCGCCUGGUCACAGCUGGCCUACGCAAGGUGUAUCGAGGCCUGGGACGUCGGAGGCUGAGAUGUCCCCACUGGCCACCCGGUUCCGACGAGGCGAAGCAAGGUGGCCGCCAUCCGCGCCGCGUCCGGCGUCACCGAUCCGCACUGUCCGUGCCGCCGCUCCGUCCCCGACGAUGCCGACCCGCGCCGCUCCCCCGUCCCCGACGAUGCCGACCCGCGCCGCAGACCAUCGCUGCCGGUUGCAAUCCAACGACGCUACAUGUCCAUGCUGUGGUGAUCUUCACCAACUCCGGCCAGGCCACCAGUGCUGCGGGAUCAAGGUCCUGUCCACCAGCGGCCAGCAUACAAGGGCGUCGCCAAGGACCAUCUGUCCAAACAAGAAGCAACCAGGUACUAAAUUUCAUUGUCUGCAUUCUAAUAAUUAUACUACUGCAAGGGAUCAGGGGGGAUCCUGAGUUCGUGACCUCCAUUAGGUAGUGAUUAGAUCGAAUUUUGUUUCUCCUGCAUGCAGCCACUGGAUUAGCUUUUGUAAUUAGGGCUAAUCUUACCGGAAGGGCUCUGUUAAUUCCUGAGAUGUGGUGUUGCAGUUCGUGAGGGCCUUUUAUACUGAAUCCUAUCAAGUGGAGUACUAGAUGAUUUAUAUAAUUUCUGUUAUUCUCUACCUUUCGAUGGAGUGCUUAAACAUCAAACUUUGAAUCUGUCGGUGUGCUGCUUGUAGUAGGUAACUAAAUUACUUGUGCCAUCUACACAGCUUGAUUCACAAGCUGCUUGUAUCUAACCUAGAUUCCAUUAAUUUCCUUUUUUGUCACUCUUCUCUGAUGUUUGUCUGAUCUUGCAGUUUGAUAAUUUUUUUAUGGUCUUGUCACUACGUCGGUCCGUCCCAUUCCCAUAUGUCACUACUGUCAAAGAUACUGGUGCUUAAGUAGCAUUGCACUACUAAUCCACAGUUGACAUCGCUGGCUCGUUUCCUGAUCCAUGAACCUUGCAUAUCUGUUCCUAUAUUCUCCUCACUGUAAGUUUUUUGUUUGAGGUUCAGACUAAUAGAUUAUUGUAGCUAACUUAUCUAUGGUUGUGAUGUGAUUUCAAAUCAGAUGGCUUGUUUAUGGCAUUUAAUAUACUCUAAAUUCCGUUGAUUAGAUUAGAUGCCACAAAUUUUUAAUACUGAAUGUAGGGCUAUUUUCUGAUAAUAGGAAAGUUGCAUGUUUUUGCUACGUUGAAUAGAUGUAAGCAAUCCACCUGUUAGGCAUUAUUGAAGCAUGAUAGCAUUUUAAAUUUCCCAUCAGCACUGCCACAGAGAUAUGUGUUCUAACAUCUUCUUUACCGAAAAUUUCAGAUCGAUGUUUGAAGCCUAGAACAGUUAAGUAUACUUAUCAAAAUAUAAAGCGAAUCUUGGCUUCAUCCAUCGCAGCGCUGCUGGCAUCAUCCUGCCCAUCUAGCACAGUUCGGUUUUCAGGCUGUACAUAGCAAAAUAACUUAGUAUAAGGGUCGAACCCGGCGUCGCCGCUGCACCGUCGACCACAACCUAGGGCAACGUCGUGAGCUCCAAUCGGCUCAUAUCACGAACUGAGGGCUCGGUACAAUGUGCCUGUGCAGAUGGAUCCUCUGCAUGAUACUAAAGAACCUGGUGUAGUUGAAGAUGCCCGACAUCAUAAAAGAGAACAGGACAGAGCCCGUGCUGCCUCGACGACAUAUGAACAAAGGGAGGGAAAGAGUAGAAUAGUUAUCUUGCAUGAGAUAGCAACUUGCAAUUUGCUCUAAUUAAAGAUAUAUAAUAAACCCUAUGUCUGAUCUCUAAAUGUCACUGUAAGGAUGGGCCCCUCAGAGUUCAUCAUACCAUAUGAUCAGUAUAUGGAGUCAUUAAAGAACAGCUAUUCCAUUGGGAUGGGAUUCAGGAUGCGGUUUGAAGGGGAAAGAGGCACCAGAGCAGAGGUUUACUGAUAUUUGCCUAAUAUUAAAGUUAAACUGUGUCAUGUGGGGCCGCCAUUAUCAGCGGAGGGCCCACAUGCGCCGUGCAGAAGGAGGCAAUCAGGUGGCGGCUGCAACAAACUCAACAAUCAGUGGCUAGAUUUCAGGACUUUCCUUUUAGUUUGUUCCUUUGUUUGGCAAAGGCCUGCGUGCCUAUAUCUAGAUGUAUUCGGAUAU